ACCAGGGGCAAUGCUCGUAGCGGCGAGUGAGCGGCAAAGCUCAAAUUUGGAAUCUGGCGCCUUCGGCGUCCGAGUUGUAAUUUGAAGACUCUAUCUUGGAGUGCGGCUCUGUUGAAUUUCCUUGGAAAAGGACCUCACAGAAGGUGAAAAUCCCGUGGGAAGGCGGCCGCGGACUGUGUAAAUUGGGGUCUACAAGACUAGUUGUUUGGGAAUGCGCCUCUCAGUGGGUGGGAAACUCCCUCUAUAGCUAAAUAUUGGCGAGAGACCCCUAUCGAAAAAGUACACUGAUGUAAAAAUGAAAAAAACUUUUAGAAAAGAGUGAAAAAGUACGUGUAAUUGUUGAAAGGGAAGGGGUUGUGAUCACACAUGCCUUCUUGCAGGCCACCAUCAGCUGGGAGGGGCAGACAAGGGCGCCGCAAUGUGGCCUGGCUUCGGGGAUGUGUUAUAGGAGGCGUCAAUGUGUCCCCUUCCGGCUGAUGACCGCGCUUCUGCAAGGAUGCGGAGGAAACGAACCCCAGCCACCCGUCUUUUGCCACGGACCAUGGCAUAAUUGAUCCCUUAACCAUGUUGUCUUGAAGGACUGUACCAGACCCGUCUUGAAACCACGGGACCC
rnacentral:rRNA from 2 species